GGGGUGGUCAGAAAGGUUUGGGGUGCCCAGGAGGAUGCACAGGAGGGUUUGGGGUGCCCAAGGAAUGCAUAGGAGAGUUUGGGGUGCCCAGGAGGGUUUGGGGUAGGUGGUUUUGUGGUGCUCAGGAGGGUUUUGGGUGCUCAGAAGGGUUUGGGGUGCUCCGGAGGCUGCCCAGGAGGGUUUGGGGUGGCUGGAAGCGUUUGGGCUCAGUGAGGGGCUGGUUGAAGGCUCUUGGGGUGGUCAGAAGGGUUUGGGCUAAUCCAAAAUCCAUCAGUGCCAGGAGGUGACACAGGAUAAUUUAUUAACCAUUUCUUACCCGUGCUGAAGAAAACAAUUGAAUCCCUGUGGUCUUCAAAGAGCCCCCCAGAAAAACCCUUAAGGCACAAAAUUGGCUGUUCCUGCAGCGGGGCACUCAGGGGGUGCAAUCCCAAAAAGGUUUGGCCAUGCCAAAACUCCUUCCUGGGUGAGGCUGAGCCAGGAGCCCUGGAGCAGCUCCUGGUGCCCUGGAUCAGCUCCUGGACCAGCUCUGGGUGCCCUGGAUCAGCUCCUGGAUCAUCUCCUGGUGCCCUGGAUCAGCUCCUGGUGCCCUGGAUCAUCUCCUGGAUCAGCUCUGGAUCAGCUCCUGGUGUCCUGGAUCAGCUCCUGGACCAGCCCCUGCUGCUCCCUCAGCCCCAGCCAGGCACAGGGACACUCCCAGCACGGUGAGCAGCAUUCCUGCCACAGCUCCUGUGGGGGAGAAGAAACAAAUCCGUGACAAAUAAAUGGGAAUAAACUGGGAAUCUGCCUCCA
rnacentral:lncRNA from 1 species